UGCAGAUCAUGUGAAGGAUGUUCUUCCUGGUGGACCAUAUCUCAUGUUUGAUCAUUGCCUUCAGAGCAGUUGUUAACUUAACAUUGCCAUAACUUGGAUCCCAUUGCCGGAAUAGCCUGUUGAAUAUUAUGAUCAAGAGGAUCUGUUAGAUAUUGCUCAACAUAUUGAGAAGCCAAUCAAACACGAUACAAACACAGGUUUGGAAAAUCAAGGUCGUUAUGCAAGAAUCUGAGUCGAAGUUAGACUACAAAAGGCUCUAGUUUCAAAAGUCAAGGUAGGAAAAAUUAUCCAGAGGAUUGAAUAUGAGGGAUUGCAUCUCAUUUGUUUUCACUAUAGGGCAUACGGACAUAGGGAGGAAUCAUGUCCAACAAAGAAAAAGGGUGAAGAAGGUGAAGCAAACUAGAGGGCAGCACCUUCGUCGGCCACUCCAACACCACCACCGACGACGCCAGUACAAUCCCAGGCAGAGAAGGAGAGUUUAGGUUCAUGGAUGAUUGCUCAACACUGUCCACACUGCAGUCAAGGAAGGAAAGUCAAUAUACUCGGCAAAAACCAAGGAGAGAAUGUUUGGAAAAUCAAAACAACCAAAACAGAUUUGAAAUCCUCUGUUAUCAAAGGAAAGACUGAACUUUGGAAAGCGUGGAUUCUCUGGACUCUAUGCAUGGAAAUCAACACCAGAGGGAGACUGAAGUUCGUCGUAAUCCAAGCAACCCAAAACCCAACAUCCAAGAACAGUCACCCAAGACACACCCUAACCCACCACUCCAAGCCCACCAAACCAAACAAAAAAACCAAGCCUGUUCUGAUAUCCCUAUGCCUUGAUAUAAGUUAAGAAAUUUCAACUCCCCUAAGUCCAACCACAACCGUAUACUUCAACCAAUGCCACCGUAGUGGCUGCAAACCCUCACGUUAAUAACCUGUACCAACAGCCCCUGCUUCAGUCUUUUGAUCCCCCAUACAUGAUGCACCUAGCCAUAAGCUCAAUCCUAGGCCUCCUGACGUACAAGUUCCCUCCUCUAACUCAAUUACCAAAGAAGCCCUCAGUGACCAUCUCAAUAGGCGAAGCUCUCGUAAUACCACAGAAUCAUCCUCUUGCUGUCAUGAAUGCAGUUGGAGCCCUUGUUUUGGACAAGUUGGGUACAAGUCAAAUUUGCAAGAGUAAAGAAGCACUAACAGGGCGCUAACGGUAAGAAAAAGCACCAUGGGACCGGGGAGCAGGUCGCACUCCCGCAUAAGGUAGAGGAAGAGGUGGAGCUCACCCGCUCAUGCUCUUCAUGCCUUGGAGUGAUGAAGCUACAAGAUUAGUGACAAUAUUGAUGAGUCUCAUUAUCUCUUUGCUAUCCCUGGUAACUAUGAAAGCUACAGUCCGGAAUAGUCAUGAAGUUGGAAAUAACAAGUUUCGGCUCAACCUGCAUGAUAUUUGCCGUGAAUACUGUUCGCAAGCAAUUUGUUUGCUAGAGACAAGAGCUUCUGGUGCUGACCUCAUGAAUCUACCAGCUCAGUUUGGUUUGUGACUACAAAGUGCCAUUUUAGGACUAUUCAGCCGGCCUUUGUUUCAUGUGGAAGGGCGAUGUGAUUGAUCUUCCAGUUCUACCAUCAGAUGCUCAAGUCAUCUAUACAAAAUAAGGUUCACCGUACUAAUACCGGAUCCCGUACCGGUGCCACACUAGCAUAGUAUCAGUACGGUACGGUACGAAGUUUUUUUUUGCGUACUACCAUGAUACAAAUAUUGUUGGUGUCAAUGCCUUCCAGUGGCUUCUCUCUUUUGCGCAUGUGAGACCGCACCCUCUCACUCACAAGAGCUAUUGUGGCAAGCUAUGAUUGAGUAUUCAUCUGCAACCUCACUUCCAUGAGCCCUAGCUGGAGAUUUCAAUGAUUUUGCAUCCGUUAAUGAAACUAAUGGAAUGCUUUCAUCCCAGUGGAGGUGCAGUUGGUUUACUGAUUGGAUAAGCCAUUGCAAUAUUGUUGACUUGGGUGCAUCUGGCCCCUGCUUCACCUGGACCAGAAAUCAGAGGGCAAAUGCCCAAAAAAAGAACAUACAGAUCGCGUCUUAGUUAAUGUCCGGUGGAAACACAUGUUUACAGAAGCCAGGGUGAAAGUCUUGCCCAUUAUUAUGCUGGAUACAGAUGGCUUAUUACCUCCACCUCAUCUCAGAUGCUUCAGGUACGAGGCUGCUUGGUUGUUGCAUAUUUAUGAUGCUUGGAUGCCUAAUAAUCAUUCUAUCAUUGACGCUACUAAUGCCUUGACAGCUGCUGUUAAAAAUUGGAACAAAGAAGUUUCUGGGAAUAUCUUUGCAAAUAAACACAGGACAUUGGCAAGAAUUGAGGGGCAUCAAAAACUGCUCUUUCACUCUCCUUUAGAGCAACUUUUGCAAUUUGAAGAGGGGUUUCAGGUAUGAGGAGUUACACUGGUGUCAAAAGUCCAGAGUUAAAUGGUUGGAGCACAGCAAUCUAAAUACAAAAUUCUAAAAUACUUCAACUCUCAUCCGGAAGAGUAAAAACAAAGUGGAGAGCUUAAGACCUCCUAAUGGUGCUUGGUGCUCUGAUAAAGAAGAGUUAAAGGCCUACGUCCUUAAGCACUUCAAGUGACUGUUUACUAUUGAUCAUGAUUCUACUUCAUGGAUGCUAAUCAAUGCCCUGCACCCCUCUCUAAAUACUGGUGAACAGCAAAUUUUUAUGGCUCCAAUCAUGUUAGAAGAAGUGAAGAAGGUGCUCUUCCUCAUGCAUCCUCUCAAAAGUCCUAGUUCGGAUGGCAUCUAAGCAAUCUUUUACCAGAAAAAUUGGGAAAUUGUAAGCAAUACUUUGUUCAAUCUUGUUCAUUCUGCUUUUGCUAAUGCUUCUUUUCCACAGGAGCUUAACUUGACUUACAUGACUCUCAUUCCCAGAAGUGGUGCAACCAGAAUCAGUUUCGCAACUUCAUCCAAUCAGUUUAUGAACGUUGCUUACAAGUUGAUCACCAUGUUAAUCGUUGAGACCUAGGCUUCUUCUGGAUCUCUUAAUUUCACAAUAUCAGAGUUGUUUCAUUCUAGGGAGGAGCACUUCUGAUAAAGUCAUUCUCACUCAAGAAGCAAUCAUCAAGAUGAGAACAACAGGAAAAAAGGGGUUUAUGGCUAUGAAAAUUGACCUGGAAAAGGCAUAUGACAAAGUGAGAUGGAAUUUUCUGCACCAAACUCUUAUUGAUUUGAAUAUGCCGAGACCACUCGCGGGGCUUGUCAUGUCUUUCAUCUCUUCUACUAAAUUCUCCAUUAAUUGGAAUGGGGAAUUACUUCAGCUUUUCCAGGCACAUGAGGUCUAUGACAAGGGGACCCACUCUCCCUGUACCUCUUUGUGCUUUGGAUGAAGAAACUAUCUAGCAAGAUCACUAAAGAAGUCGAAGAGAAACGGUGGAAGCCCCUCACUCUUGCAAAGGAUGGUCUGCCCUUCUCCCACCAUUUCUUUGUGGACUACUUGAUUAUUUUUCAGAAGCUUUUCUCACACAAGCCAAGGUAGUAAUGCGGACACUUAACAAGUUUAGUAAGGCUUCCGAGAAAACAAUUAAGUCUUCAGAAAUCUAAACUUUUUGUCUCUAAAAAUCCUUCAAGAAGGAAGGCCAAAAGAAUCAGCCAAAGGUGUAGAAUCUCUCUCACUUCUAAUUUCAGGAAGUAUCUUGGUGUGCCCAUUAUACAGUCUCGGGUCUCUAAAUCUACUUUUAACCCAACGGUGGAGAAAGUUCAAUCGCGCUUGGCAGGAUGGAAGUCAGAAACUCUAAAUCUUGUAGGGAGAAUUAUGUUCAUUAAAUCGGUCACAUCCACUAUCCCAAUUUAUUCUAUGCAGACCAACUAUCUACCUAGAUCAAUUUGUGAUUAAAUUGACAAGCUCAACCGAGAUUUUAUUUGGGGUGAUGAGCCUGAAGAAAGGAAGCUUCACUUGGUGAGUUGGGAAACUGUGUUUAACCUAAAAAAUAUGGAGGGAUGGGCUUGAGAUCCAUGUGGCUAUGUAAUGAUGCCCUCCUUGCUAGAUUGGAUUAGUAGUUACUUCACAACAAUUCAGCACUUUGGGUUCGAGCACUCAAACAAAAGUAUUACAAGAUGGCGACCUCUUGACUAGAAGGUUGAAAGCAUCAGACUCUUUUACAUGGAAGAAUAUCCUCAAAGGAGUAGAAUGUUUAAAAAAGGGUUACUCAGCAGGCUUGGUAAUGGAGAAAGAACCUCACUUUGGUUUGACAAAUGGGUUGGCGAAAACCCUUAUGUGACUACUCGGGUGUCGAAUAGCACAAGAGGAGCUUCAGCUUAACGUGGCAGAUGUUAUUGAUGAAAAUAAAAUGUGGAAAUUCAGUGGUUUAACCUCCAGCAUCCCUAGUGAAGUCCUAAAGCAUAUAAGGGCUGUGCCUAUUCCUCUCAAUGAUGCUAUGGCUGAUCGUAUGUUGUUGAUGGGAACUUCUAAUAGCCUCUUUUCUGUCAAAUCAACCUAUAAUCAAGGCCUAUCUAUCCCCAUUGAUGCUACUACAGGCUGGUGCUGGUUAUUCCAUCUUAAAUGCCCGCAAAAAAUUUAAAACCUUUUUGUAACUGUGUUGCCACAAUAGGCUACACACAGUAUAGUUGCAGUUCAAGAGAAAUUCCUGUUAUAGUAUGGAAGCUUUUCUGUUUUGAUGAGGUUUUGGAUCCAAUUUAUGAGGUUAUGGAUUGGAUUCAAAACCGGAAGCGGUAAGGCUUCGCCGUUUGAGAACACCGGGGGUUCGGGGGGUGGGCCCCCCGGCCUUUCGUCUAGUUUAAUUACCUCCUAUUCCCCCCCGAGGGGGGCUUUGGGGGGGUAACGUUCCAUAGCCUAAGGAAGGGGAGGGGGUUCGGGGGAGGGGAAACCAUCCCAUCCCCUGAUAUCCCGAAAGUUCCCGAACCUAAGGUUACGAGGUUCGGGUUCCAUAACCCUUGGAAGGGGAGGGGGUUCGG